rnacentral:misc_RNA from 1 species
GAUGUGGGGGUUGCGGGCUUCUCAGAAGUCAGCUCUCCUUAAAUGCAUUAGCAAAACCUUUGUUGACCAUCUCUGGUGUGAUAAUUAUCUACGCCAUUGGGAAGCAGCUUUUAUAUGGGGUUUAGCUUCUAACUGUCUUAUCAUUGGACAACUCUUGACAUUUUGACCUCAAAUCAGGUAGGACUACCCGCUGAACUUAA